rnacentral:tRNA from 1 species
GGCAAUGUAGCUCAGUGGUAUAGCACUUGCCUAGCAUGUGUGAGGCCCUGGGUUCAAUUCCAGGCACUGACC